rnacentral:tRNA from 1 species
GGGCUCGUGGGGUAGUCAGGAUUAUCCUUCAGGCCUUCGGAGCCCGAGACCCGGGUUCGAAUCCCGGCGAGCCCG